rnacentral:lncRNA from 1 species
AUCUAUGAAUGCAAUAUACCAAAAUCUUUAAACGUGCAAUAACCUAUCUACAAGGGUAGGUUCUAAAAGAAGGUCAUGCCAGACCUCUUAUUUCCUAACGUUUGUGAAUGCAAAGGCAAAAGACAAGGAAAGUUAGUUCAACACAUAACACGUUGGACAAUUAAAGGAUAUAAAAAGCAGGAAACAUAAAUAAGGAAAAAGGGUGGGAUCCCUCCCCUCGUGAAAGGUGUUCCUAAUAGGGUAAGGCAGACUCUACCCUAGGUGAAACUAUAUGGAUGCAUGAGGUUGGGGUUCGCUAAUGCAUCUAUACUCAAUAAGCUCAGGCCCCCAAGCCUUCAGACUCGUGGCCAAGGGUCAUCACUCCCAAGGCCCUUUGUCGGUGGCUCGAGC